AUUGAACGCUGGCGGCAGGCCUAACACAUGCAAGUCGAACGAGUGGCGGACGGGUGAGUAAUGUAGGGGAAACUGCCUGAUGGAGGGGGAUAAAUACUGGAAACGGUAGCUAAUACCCCAUACCAUCAGAUGUGCCCAGAUGGGAUUAGCGUGUUGGUGGGGUAACGGCUCACCAAGGCGACGAUCCCUAGCUGGUCUGAGAGGAUGACCAUCCACACGGGAACUUAGACACGGUCCAGACGCCUACGGGAGGCAGCAGUGGGGAAGAUUGCACAAUGGGCGCAAUCCGGAUGCAGCCAUGCCGCGUGUAUGAAGAAGGCCUUCGGGUUGUAAAGUACUUUCAGCGGGGAGGCGUUACCCGCAGAAGAAGCACCGGCUAACUCCGUGCCAGCAGCCGCGGUAAUUC
rnacentral:rRNA from 1 species